rnacentral:rRNA from 1 species
UCCUAGUGGCGGACGGGUGAGUAACGCGUGGGUAACCUGCCUCACACUGGGGGAUAACAGUCAGAAAUGACUGCUAAUACCGCAUAAGCACACGGGAUUGCAUGAUCCAGUGUGAAAAACUCCGGUGGUGUGAGAUGGACCCGCGUUGGAUUAGCCAGUUGGCAGGGUAACGGCCUACCAAAGCGACGAUCCAUAGCCGGCCUGAGAGGGUGGACGGCCACAUUGGGACUGAGACACGGCCCAGACUCCUACGGGAGGCAGCAGUGGGGAAUAUUGCACAAUGGGGGAAACCCUGAUGCAGCGACGCCGCGUGAAGGAAGAAGUAUCUCGGUAUGUAAACUUCUAUCAGCAGGGAAGAAAAUGACGGUACCUGACUAAGAAGCCCCGGCUAACUACGUGCCAGCAGCCGCGGUAAUACGUAGGGGGCAAGCGUUAUCCGGAUUUACUGGGUGUAAAGGGAGCGUAGACGGAGCAGCAAGUCUGAUGUGAAAGGCAGGGGCUCAACCCCUGGACUGCAUUGGAAACUGUUGAUCUUGAGUACCGGAGAGGUAAGCGGAAUUCCUAGUGUAGCGGUGAAAUGCGUAGAUAUUAGGAGGAACACCAGUGGCGAAGGCGGCUUACUG